CCUUCAGCAAACCUGCUAGCUUGUUCAGGAGUUAGCUCAUCUAUGCUCAUGAAUAAGUUUUCAAUAUGGGUGGAAGCUGUUUUUUAUGCCUAGGGUUCACUACACGACUCUCGAAAUCUUAUAAUCCUUAUGACAUUCACAUGAGACGGCAUUUGUCACCUGUGACUAGUUGUUUUGGGGUUGUUACUGUGUGCACGCUACAAAGGCAUCGGGUUUCUGGGGAGAACCUGUUGAGAGAGUUAUAACAUGAGUCCUGGUCAGUGAGUCGUAAUGAAGAAACCACAGAAGGAACUGUUAAUGUGCAGGGUUCACACCAACAGAUGGUCGAGGCUGACCUUCCAUAUCGGUUAUACGACUCCUCAGCUCCUUCACCUGUGGAGCGGAUGCACAGAGGAGGAAGACAUUUGCAAAGGCAAGCCAAACAGAUGCAAGGGAAGUGAAUCACGUCUCACAUUUCACACAGAUGAAACAUGUACCACAUUCACUUAAAAUGUCCGGUCCAUGUUCAGAUAAAAAGUCCUGCCCUGAUUUGUGUGUCUGUGUGCGUGCG